GGGCCUGUAGCUCAGUUGGUUAGAGCGCACGCCUGAUAAGCGUGAGGUCGGUGGUUCGAGUCCACCCAGGCCCACCA
rnacentral:tRNA from 4 species